rnacentral:rRNA from 1 species
UACGGGGGGGGCAAGCGUUGUUCGGAAUUACUGGGCGUAAAGGGCGCGUAGGCGGCCAUCUAAGUCAGACGUGAAAUCCCCCGGCUUAACCUGGGAACUGCGUCUGAUACUGGAAGGCUUGAGUAUGGGAGAGGGAUGUAGAAUUCCAGGUGUAGCGGUGAAAUGCGUAGAUAUCUGGAGGAAUACCGGUGGCGAAGGCGGCAUCCUGGACCAUUACUGACGCUGAGGCGCGAAAGCGUGGGGAGCAAACGGG